ensembl:miRNA cin-mir-181 cin-mir-181
AGAUGUUUGUGUAAUAACAUUCAACCUGUCGAGCAAGCCUGCUUAACUAGUCGUUGUUAUUUUUGACCUCGCUACUGCAGAUGUUGGACAUGUUUGGUGUAAGUAACAAUGUUG